CUGUUAUGAUAGCACAUGCUAGAUGCUCUGAAAAUCAUAGUUCCUCUUCUGCAGAGAGGAAAAGAAUAAAUCAGGGCCAUGUUUUUAUACAGACUGGGAGCAUCGGUACACAUAAAGACAAUGUAGAAAUAAACAAGGACAACGAAGGGCACGCAAAGAAGAACUGCAGAAGGGUCAGCCUCAGUCAGAAGGAUAAAGUUCGUGUCAGUGCCAACGGCAGAAGAAUUCAGGAAGCCAACAAUAAAUGGAAACAAUGUGAGAAGAGCAGGUGUGUUUUCACUCAGAGGAAGCAGCUACGGAUAUGAAAAUGACUUAGCAGCUGGUGAAUAAGGAGACUGAAGCUGUGCCAGACAAACUUUACAGAUAAGGCUGUGUUCAAACAAGCGCAGCGCCAGAACACCAAAUCUACACAGGAUAUGACUUGAAGCUUUCUCUUCUUGAAGUUGGUAAAGAUUUACCACAGAAAUUCAGCAGGAUGAUUUAUCUUCGGUGUAUGAGGAUAUCAACAAAUUUUAGUUAAAACUUGAGAGGAAUGAUUGUUUGAUGACUGCUCAUACCUUUCUUGUUUCACCUGGUGAUAGACUUUCAGUGCAGUGGUACACAGUAAGAUUUACAGGAACCCUCACCUGAGCACCUUAUUUUCUCUUGCACACUCUGAGUAGUCAAGCUCAGAACCACUAAAUUCUCAGUGAGCGAUGAAGAAAGGCAUGCUGUCAAAGUCACAAAGCUAUCUUUUCAUUUAUAAAACAAUUUAAAAUAAAACAGGAGCUGGAACAACUAUAUCAACAAGAGAAAGGCUGAAGAGAUGAAUCACUCCAAAAUAUUUUUUCAGUGUGCAGAGAAACAGAAAUAUUUCUUUUUUAAUUCCAUGAUAUCAUACAAUCAAGCAAUAUUGAGAGUACACCAACCCAAUGCAUUAGGGAAGUUAUAGGUACGUUUUCAGUUGCUAUAUCAUCCUGCAAAAAUAAUUAAAAAGUGGACUGGCAUUUUCCUUAAAAAUAAAAAAUAAAAAAAUAAAAACAAAUUAAAGCAUUUCAGUAGCUUUCCCUACAAUUUUUUUCUUUAGGAGGAAGCUUGGAAUGUUUAUGCUAUUGUAUGGAUUUUAUGUAUAGUUGAUUAGAUCCAAAACUAAAGAAAACUAGGGAAAAUUAACUUGUAUGCUUGGAGAUUCUGUUCAAAGUUCCUGGAUUAAAUAAGCAGCAUUAAAAUUAUAGAUGUCAUCACCAUUUAAAUAACGGGGAAAACCUUUCACCGCCACAGGUUUUGAGGUCCUUUUCCUACGAUCUGUUUACAACCCACUGAACCCUGCUGUGUAUUCACAUUGAUCUUUCUUCUGCUAAGCUUUGUGAGUAGUUACAGUGAUAGCUAACAACAAAAGCCAUGAAAUUAUGGAGCUGAUCUGUUGGUCACUGCAGUGUAACUGUAAGCAUAGUCAAAGACAAACUAUGGAAAGCAUCUUUAGAAACCUGCUAUAAUUCAGUGAUCACCACCCGUAAUGAAAAUGCUGAGUCGUGGCCUGAGCCAGUGAUUGAGCACCUGGUGGGAAGGCAGGGCCAACCCAGGGGAGCUCAGGUGCAUGCAAUGCAUUGAGUGACCGGAAGGGGUGGAGCCAGGAUCCAUCUCUUCCCAGAACUCUUUAAAGGGUUGGCAAAGGAAAUGAGGACAUCUUUUGUUGGAGAUCCCUGCAUACCUGAGGCCUUCCAAAGGCAAGCAGCUCUUUUCCUUUGUUUCUGCAUCUGUGGCUGCUGCAUCUGGGCUCAUUCUUGUUUGCUACAGCCAAAGACUUUGCCACCCCACUAUUACUGCGGUACUUUCCAUCCCAUUAUAGCAUUACGCCAUCUACAAAAGUAUCAAAAUGUUUCAUUUUUCAACUGAAUAUUCUGAAAUAAUAAAAAUAUAUAUUCU
ensembl:lncRNA